AACUGAAAAACCUAUGUUGAGAGAGAGCGGUCAAGCGAGAACUCUCCCGAGUUGAGCCCUAGCCACCAGAGCCGCAUUAGGGAAGAAGACGAACGAUUGUCGAUGGAGUUCGCAUUAGGGUCACCUAGCAUGAGAUCCGCAGAGAGACACUAACCCUCAGGGUGGUUGGUUGUGUUGUCGGCCGCGGAACAGAGACCCCUUUGGGCUGAGAAAUGAAGGUUCACGAAUCGCUUUCUCGAGCUGAAAAAGUGAGCUGCAAGACCUCCAAGGUGGAUGGUGGGGUCAUGUUAGGGAUCAAACAACUAACCCAACAAGUGUUGGUUACGAGAAUGCAGUUAAUGCCCCUGCUCCCAAUGUUGAUCCACUCCUCAAUCAUUGGGCUUUAGAGAAGGUU